UACGUAGGGUGCAAACGUUAUCCGGAUUUAUUGGGCGUAAAGAGCUCGUAGGUGGACAGAUCAGUCGGAUAUGAAAGACCCAGGCUCAACUUGGGGAGCGUAUCUGAUACUACCUGUCUUGAGGUGUGCAGGGGAAGAUGGAACUCAUAGUGUAGCAGUGAAAUGCGUAGAUAUUAUGAGGAACGCCAAUGGUGAAGACAGUCUUCUGGGCACUACCUGACACUGAGGAGCGAAAGCGUGGGGAG
rnacentral:rRNA from 1 species